rnacentral:rRNA from 1 species
AGGGUUUGAUCAUGGCUCAGAACGUACGCUGGCGGCAGGCCUAAGACAUGCAAGUCGUACGAGAACGGUCCUUCGGGGCUUAGUAGAGUGGCGAACGGGUUAGUAACGCGUGGGAACAUACACAGCACGGGGGGAUAACCAUUGGAAACGAUGGCUAAUACCGCAUACGCCCUAUGGGGGAAAGAUUUAUCGGUGUUGGAUUGGCCCGCGUUAGAUUAGCUAGUUGGUGGGGUAAUGGCCCACCAAGGCGACGAUUUAUAGCUGGUUUGAGAGGAUGAUCAGCAACACUGGAACUGAGACACGGUCCAGACUCCUACGGGAGGCAGCAGUCGGGAAUAUUGUGCAAUGGGGGCAACCCUGACACAGCCAUGCCGCGUGAGUGAAGAAGGCCUUAGGGUUGUAAAUCUCUUUCAGAUGUGAGAAUGAUGACGAUAGCAUCACAAGAAGCUCCGGCUAACUUCGUGCCAGCAGCCGCGGUAAUACGAAGGGAGCAAGCGUUGUUCGGAAUUACUGGGCGUAAAGGGCGUGUAGGCGGAUUAUCAAGUUAGGGGUGAAAUCCCGGGGCUCAACCUCGGCACUGCCUUUAAGACUGAUAAUCUAGAGUAUGUGAGGGGAUAAUGGAAUACCUAGUGUAGAGGUGAAAUUCGUAGAUAUUAGGUGGAACACCAGUGGCGCAGGCGAUUAUCUGGCACAUUACUGACGCUGAGGCGCGAAAGCGUAGGGAGCAAACGGGAUUAGAUACCCCGGUAGUCCACGCCGUAAACGAUGUAUACUAGUUGUCGGGCAUUGGUUCGGUGACGCAGCUAACGCAUUAAGUAUACCGCCUGGGGAGUACGGUCGCAAGAUUAAAACUCAAAGAAAUUGACGGGGACCCGCACAAGCGGUGGAGCAUGUGGUUUAAUUCGAAGCAACGCGAAGAACCUUACCCACCUUUGACAUGGUAGUUUGGGGUAUUGGAGACAAUAUCUUUCAGUUUGGCUGGGCUACACACAGGUGCUGCAUGGCUGUCGUCAGCUCGUGUCGUGAGAUGUUGGGUUAAGUCCCGCAACGAGCGCAACCCUUGUUUUCAGUUACCAUCAUUAGGUUGGGUACUUUGGAAAGACUGCCGGUGAUAAACCGGAGGAAGGCGGGGACGACGUCAAGUCAUCAUGGCCCUUAUAGGUGGGGCUACACACGUGCUACAAUGGCAUUUACAGAGGGUUGCUACUGUGCAAACAGACGCUAAUCCCGAAAAGAUGUCUCAGUUCGGAUUGUUCUCUGCAACUCGAGAGCAUGAAGUCGGAAUCGCUAGUAAUCGUGGAUCAGCAUGCCACGGUGAAUACGUUCCCGGGUCUUGUACACACCGCCCGUCACACCAUGGGAGUUGGUUUACCCGAAGCCGGUGCGCUAACCUUUUAUUAGGGGGCAGCCGUCCACGGUAAGAUUGAUGACUGGGGUGAAGUCGUAACAAGGUACCAAGGG